rnacentral:misc_RNA from 1 species
AACGCACAUUGCGCCCCUUGGUAUUCCGAAGGGCAUGUCUGUUUGAGCGUCAUUUCCACACUCGUCCGCGACCGGUUUGUUGAAAACCGGACCCGCGGUACGGUUUUGGGGCGCCCGUCCAGUCAGAAACAUCUGACCGGCGGGCCUCUUAAAUUUGUGGUCCACUACCGCUUUGGCCUGAACGAACCUGAUAACUUUUUAUAAGGAUCGCUGUAAGGACUCGCGCGUUGGCAGAAUCAUAAAACGCAACCUAAGGCUUGACCUCAGAUCAGACAAGGAUACCCGCUGAACUUAA